rnacentral:rRNA from 1 species
CUUCCCGUAAGGUGAACCUGCGGAAGGAUCAUUAAAGAUUAUGAAUGAAUAGAUUACUGGGGGAUCGUCUGAACAAGGCCUGCGCUUAAUUGCGCGGCCAGUUCUUGAUUCUCUGCUAUCAGUUUUCUAUUUCUCAUCCUAAACACAAUGGAGUUUUUUCUCUAUGAACUACUUCCCUGGAGAGCUCGUCUCUCCAGUGGACAUAAACACAAACAAUAUUUUGUAUUAUGAAAAACUAUUAUACUAUAAAAUUUAAUAUUCAAAACUUUCAACAACGGAUCUCUUGGUUCUCGCAUCGAUGAAGAACGCAGCGAAUUGCGAUAUGUAUUGUGAAUUGCAGAUUUUCGUGAAUCAUCAAAUCUUUGAACGCACAUUGCGCCCUCUGGUAUUCCAGGGGGCAUGCCUGUUUGAGCGUCAUUUCUCUCUCAAACCUUUGGGUUUGGUAGUGAGUGAUACUCGUCUCGGGUUAACUUGAAAGUGGCUAGCCGUUGCCAUCUGCGUGAGCAGGGCUGCGUGUCAAGUCUAUGGACUCGACUCUUGCACAUCUACGUCUUAGGUUUGCGCCAAUUCGUGGUAAGCUUGGGUCAUAGAGACUCAUAGGUGUUAUAAAGACUCGCUGGUGUUUGUCUCCUUGAGGCAUACGGCUUUAACCAAAACUCUCAAAGUUUGACCUCAAAUCAGGUAGGAGUACCCGCUGAACUUAAGCAUAUCAAUAAAGCCGGGAGGA